AUUGAACGCUGGCGGCAUGCCUUACACAUGCAAGUCGAACGGUAACGCGGGGCAACCUGGCGACGAGUGGCGAACGGGUGAGUAAUGUAUCGGAACGUGCCCAGUUGUGGGGGAUAACUGCUCGAAAGAGCAGCUAAUACCGCAUACGACCUGAGGGUGAAAGCGGGGGAUCGCAAGACCUCGCGCAAUUGGAGCGGCCGAUAUCAGAUUAGGUAGUUGGUGGGGUAAAGGCUCACCAAGCCAACGAUCUGUAGCUGGUCUGAGAGGACGACCAGCCACACUGGGACUGAGACACGGCCCAGACUCCUACGGGAGGCAGCAGUGGGGAAUUUUGGACAAUGGACGCAAGUCUGAUCCAGCCAUGCCGCGUGCGGGAAGAAGGCCUUCGGGUUGUAAACCGCUUUUGUCAGGGAAGAAACGCUCUGGGUUAAUACCUCGGGGUAAUGACGGUACCUGAAGAAUAAGCACCGGCUAACUACGUGCCAGCCGCCGCCGUAACAC
rnacentral:rRNA from 1 species